GACGAACGCUGGCGGCGUGCUUAACACAUGCAAGUCGAACGAUGAAGCCGGAGCUUGCUCUGGUGAAUUAGUGGCGAACGGGUGAGUAACACGUGAGUAACCUGCCCUUGACUCUGGGAUAACUGCGGGAAACUGUAGCUAAUACCGGAUACGACCCUCGGAGGCAUCUCCUGGGGGUGGAAAGAAUUUCGGUCAAGGAUGGACUCGCGGCCUAUCAGCUAGUUGGUGAGGUAAAGGCUGACCAAGGCGACGACGGGUAGGCGGCCUGAGAGGGUGACCGGCCACGCUGGGACUGAGACACGGCCCAGACUCCUACGGGAGGCAGCAGUGGGGAAUAUUGCACAAUGGGCGCAAGCCUGAUGCAGCAACGCCGCGUGAGGGAUGACGGCCUUCGGGUUGUAAACCUCUUUUAGCAGGGAAGAAGCGAAAGUGACGGUACCUGCAGAAAAAGCACCGGCUAACUACGUGCCAGCAGCCGCGGUAA
rnacentral:rRNA from 1 species